UACAGAGGUCUCAAGCGUUGUUCGGAUUCAUUGGGCGUAAAGGGUGCGUAGGCGGCGCGGUAAGUCGGGUGUGAAAUCUUGGAGCUUAACUCCGAAACUGCAUUCGAUACUGCCGUGCUUGAGGACUGGAGAGGAGACUGGAAUUUACGGUGUAGCGGUGAAAUGCGUAGAUAUCGUAAGGAAGACCAGUGGCGAAGGCGGGUCUCUGGACAGUUCCUGAUGCUGAGGCACGAAGGCCAGGGGAGCAAACGGG
rnacentral:rRNA from 1 species